UAGGGAAUCUUCGGCAAUGGACGAAAGUCUGACCGAGCAACGCCGCGUGAGUGAAGAAGGUUUUCGGAUCGUAAAACUCUGUUGUUAGAGAAGAACAAGGACGUUAGUAACUGAACGUCCCCUGACGGUAUCUAACCAGAAAGCCACGGCUAACUACGUGCCAGCAGCCGCGGUAAUACGUAGGUAGCAAGCGUUGUCCGGAUUUAUUGGGCGUAAAGCGAGCGCAGGCGGUUUCUUAAGUCUGAUGUGAAAGCCCCCGGCUCAACCGGGGAGGGUCAUUGGAAACUGGGAGACUUGAGUGCAGAAGAGGAGAGUGGAAUUCCAUGUGUAGCGGUGAAAUGCGUAGAUAUAUGGAGGAACACCAGUGGCGAAGGCGGCUCUCUGGUCUGUAACUGACGCUGAGGCUCGAAAGCGUGGGGAGCAAACAGG
rnacentral:rRNA from 1 species